rnacentral:rRNA from 1 species
UACGUAGGCAGCAAGCGUUGUUCGGAAUUACUGGGCGUAAAGAGUGUGUAGGCGGUGCUCCAAGUCUGGUGUGAAAUCUCCCGGCUUAACUGGGAGGGUGCAUUAGAAACUGGAAUGCUAGAGGAUGGGAGAGGUAAGCGGAAUUCCUGGUGUAGCGGUGAAAUGCGUAGAUAUCAGGAGGAACACCUGUGGCGAAAGCGGCUCACUGGACCACAACUGACGCUGAGGCGCGAAAGCUAGGGGAGCAAACAGG